GUAAAUAUAGUUUAAACAAAACAUUAGGCUGUGACCCUAUUAAUGAAAGUUUAACCCUUUCUAUAGACC
rnacentral:tRNA from 1 species